rfam:Fomitiporia mediterranea MF3/22 unplaced genomic scaffold FOMMEscaffold_6, whole genome shotgun sequence.
GGCGCUGUAGCAAAGUGGUUACUGCGGCAGUUUAGAAAGCUGCUCCUCUUCGAGGGCGCAGGUUCGAAUCCUGCCGGCGUCG